AAAAAAAAAAAAAAAAAAAACCCGCAGCCGUGUGAAGUGAGCUGAGUGCCAGGCCUGGCCGCACACCUCCGGGUGCAGACAGCCCCUGAUGGAGGCCACACUGAAGAAUGCAUCUCUGCUGCAGAAAAGGGAAUGGCGCAGCCGGGUGGGGGCAGGGUGGGGAAGGAAUUUGCAUCUCAUGGCUCAAUCAGAUCUGCAAGCUAACAUCCUGUUUUUCUGUAGGUUGGGCACAUCAGUGGCCUCAGGAAGUGUCAACAGCCUUGCAGACGGACCCAAUCCCGGGUGACCACGCCGCCUCACCCCACCAGGCCCCCUGCCCUCCCUCUACUCGAACUCGGGGACUCAGGACUGGAGACCUCCCCCUCCUCCCCAGAGACGCAUCAACAGGAAGCGAAGUCAGCUGGAACGCUCUGUUCCCUUGACAUUUUUGUUUUAAGUCUGCAGCUGUGUUGGAGCUGCACGAACUGUCUCUCAGGCUCUGUGGCCCGUCUGCUUGUCUGCUGGGCACCUUUUCCCUCACACGCGUGCACUCAGGCGUGGCCACCUGAGGCUGCAGCAGAGCAGAGCAGGCUGGGGCAGAGGUGUGGAGGGUGAGAGCACAGUGGGUCUGCAGCUCUGCUGCGAGGGCUGACGGUGGAGCUCUGACCACGCACUCGGGCCAUCACCGAGGAGCCACAGGUGCGGAUACGUUCCUGGACGGCUCCCAGGGCACGCCUUGGCUCUAUCACCUCCAGCCUAGAGGAAAAGCCCUCUAACCUGGGAGACCCUGGGUCUUCAAAGCUACCAUGUACUAGAAGGAAAGCGGCGACUGGCCUCUUUCCAAGUUCUUCAACGGACUCAAGAAGAGAAGCCUCGUCCAUCACGGCCGCUGGUGCGUGGAGCUCACAGGCAAAAAUGUAUCAUGGCUUUUCAGACCACCCAAUAAUUUCUAUACCCUAAAAAGUAAACAAUCCAAGAAGGAGAUGAAGAAAACCAUCCCAGGACCGGCUCUGCAGCGCAACACGUUCACGCAGUGCGGAGGGAGUCAGACUCCACAGGCCUGGCCGUGGCUCCAGGACGGGCCCUACGGCUUGAGAGACAUCAUGUGCAUAUGCCCAGGGUCCUGAUGGUGUGGAGACGUCGAGGGGUGAUCAUGGCCCCCAUCCAGGGUGCUCUCUCUCCCUCUC